UGAGUCAUCACUCCCACUCCAAGUGGCCAUCAUGGUCUUCUUCUUGUACCUCUUAGGACCCUUCUUCAAUUGUGGGCAUUCAGACUUGAAGUGUCCCGGUUUCUUGUAUUCAUAGCAGAUAAGGGGCUGGUCUUUAUCCUUUUCAUUGCUAUAUUCUCCUUUUGUGAGUGGCCUCUUCCUCAUUCCUUGUUUUCUUUUUCUCAAAAACUUUUUGAACUUUCUGGUAAUGAGUGCCAUCUCUUCAUCCUGCUCUUCA
rnacentral:lncRNA from 1 species